GAAGCCUUCAGUCUCUAUGCACGCAGCAUGCCUUCCCAGCCUCCUGUGGUUGUAGAGUGUAUAGAAGGCAGUUGGAUCACUAUGGACAGCGGGUAAGAGCUGAGGAAGCAGCCUCCGCCAGGUGGUAACAUGGAGGACCCUGAAGCAGGCCAAUUAAAUCAAGCAUAUUCCUCAGUAUCAUGGAGAGACUGGAGGUUAGAGACACCAAAACCAUCCCUGGCUUAAUGACUUUGGGAUCCCUGGGCCCCUCCAUGCAGCAGAACGGCAAUUAACCAAGCCACACCCUGAAUUGUACUCUGUUACCUUAGAAGUAGUGCAUUUGAUGGUUGUUUUGAAAAAAUAAAUGAAUGAAGGAGGACCAGUUCAUAUUACCCUUCAAAAAGGCAUAGACCAUUGGCCAUUCUCUGACCAUCUCAAGCCAGAGGUGACUUGAUCUGUCACCCAGCUGUGGCCCAUGAGCAUUAUCUAAGGAGGAACAUUUUUGCUUACGUUUCCAGUGCUCUACAUAAGCCCUAGGCCCUGGGAGGCACUGAAAUGCUCAAUGGGAGCUCCAUGUGUGCAGGCUUAUGGACUGAAAUACUACUUUCAUGGCUCUGGCUAUGAACAUCAGCAUAUAGAGAAUGGAUCACUACCAAAGAAGGCACCCGAAUGUGUCUGUCUCAUCCUGGGGAAACUCAUUCAUCUGUAUAUGUACUCAGCAAGUGUUUCCUGGCACCUGCUCUGGGUCACAGUGCUGGGCACUGGAAGCUGAGAGAUGUGGAAGAAGGCUGGACAUUCAAGAUGAGAAGCCCGAGGCUGGUAAACUAGAGUCCAAGGGCAGAAAGCUGGGACAAUGGCUGGAGGAAGAAAUGAGAGGAUCUCUAUACCCAGGCCUUGGCUUCUAUGUCCCUUCUCGAAGUGGUUGAAGUGCAGAUUUCUGAUUCUGUACCCAGCCUCCAGGGACACAGUACACAGUAUGCUGGGAAUGGCGGUGGGUGUUUGAGGUACAUUACUUCCAGACAAAACAUGGCUGCAGAGGGAUACCAAAAGCAUCUUCUGGUGGCUGAAGCCCUGUCUGCACAAGUGUCUGUGUUCUUCAAUGGUUCAGGCAAGCUCAGACAGACCCUCUGCUUCUCUUAACCUGAGACACUAGUUUCCCCAAGAACUUUGAGCUGAAGGUUCCUUGCUGUGUCCCCUACCUGGCUGUGAGGACUUUGAGUAUAAUUAUCCUAUCUUAUUUGUUGCUGUGCUCCCAGUGUCUUGGAUGGAGCCUGACAUCUAGUCAGUGUUAGUAAAUGUUGAUGUGUAUUGAAUUUUGCAAGGAUCUGCAGCCCUGAGAAGAGGGGAUACUUCUUGGAAACCUCUGUGGGCUAAAUUGAGGGUUAAGGACUGGGACUGGAAGGCAGAGAUUCCAGAGUGAUAACCACAGUAGUUACUAUUUCAUGAGAGCCUCCAUGUGCCAGCCUCUAAGCUAGGCCCAUACCAUGCAUUACCUCUUGUCCCCACUUUACAGAAACUAAGGCUUAGACAAGUUAAGCAACUUGCUAAAGAUCAAACAACUCAAUAUGUGUUGGAGUCAAAUGAACGCAUUUCUUUUCCAUUUCCCUCAUUUACUCCACUAAUGACAGUACUUAAAUUGUAGACUAGGAAUUAAAAUAGCAGAAGCCUGACUUGAGAGGGCAGAGCCCCUGCGUUUGAGUGCCUGAAAGUCAGUCAUGGGUAGAAAGAACAGUCUUGUAGCAGAGCUCUGGGCAAGGGAGGAGCCGUGAGCAGGUGGACAUGAACUCACUGUGACAACUCUCCAACAGUGAAAGCAGGUUCCCAUGGAAUCCAGGGAAAUUACUGAAUAACUUUCAACACAAAAAUGUGUGCUAGUGAGCUGUAGAGCCUUUAUAUCCCCCCAAAACAUAUUAUGGGGGUGGGGGGGGGGCGCGGAAUUCUGAAUUUUUGUUGUUGUUGUUGUUGUUGAGACAGAGUUUUGCUGUUGUUGCCCAGGCUGGAGUGCAAUGGCACAAUCUUGGCUCUCCACAACCUCCGCCUCCUGGAUUCAAGCGAUUCUCCUGCCCCAGCCUCCAGAGUAGGGGCUGGGAUUGUAGACAUGCGCCACCACGCCUGGCUAAUUUUGUAUUUUUAGUAGAGAUAGGGUUUCUGCAUGUUGAUCAGGCUGGUCUCGAACUCCUGACCUCAGGUGAUCCACCCGCCUUGGCCUCCCAAAGUGCUGGGAUUACAGGUGUGUGCCACGGCGCCCGGCCUAAGUAAAUAGUUUGGAAAGCUGCAUCCAAUAGUCUCUUUUGAAGAUUCACAAUGCACCCUAGCUUGUUAACUAUUCCAAGAAGUCCCCGGAAAAGAAUGCUUGUUUGACUUUCUUGAAUCCAGUGUUGCCCAUGUUUAUUUGACUAGUGAGCAGGUUUUUUUGUUUGUUUGUUUGUUUUUUAAGUGACACUUUUUAACACUCUGAGGCAGUAAUAUUGUACUGAACACAUGGGGAAUCUUCUGUGGAAGUUUGGCCUGGAAUACAUCCUCUGUGUUCCUUCUCGCCCCGUGGCUGAGUGAGUGUGCUGUAAAAGCUUAGUGACAGAAAAGCCCCACUUAGCCUAUUUGUGAUGAUUUCCUAAACCGGGCAAAUAACUCAUCUGAAUGGCUGAGGUGAUAAACUCACAGGAGGAGAAGAUGCUGGAGGAAGUGUCAUGUGUCCUGCAUGUAGGUACCACUUCACCUCCCAGCAAGGCGAUGCUGAUAGCAACGUUUUCCUUGGGUGUUGAAUUUUCCAUCCUGCAAUUACGUCUUAAGCCAUAGAUAAAAUUCACAUCCACGUUUCACUCAAGAUAAACCUAACAUCAUAAUAAUACAGAAGAUUAAUUCAUUGGGGAAAAAUAGAAGAAAAUUGGUCUUGGCUUAAAGAGAAGUCAACAUUUAGAAUGUGUAGAAGGGGAUUUCUUCUGGAUCACACUCUGUCCUCAACAGUGGCAUGUGAAAAUGUAUGUGGUUCGCUUUAGUGCAUGCAUGUUUGUGCCUGUCCCACUGACACAUCCACAGUGUGACCCAUAGAGGUCCACUUCUAAGACCCCUAACUCUGAGUCCAACCCACCCUUUUGGGCUCACUGCAGUCAUUUCUCUCUGAAGUCUUCCUUGACAACCUAGGCAUCAUCAGUUUUUCUCUUCUCUGAUCAUCUUAGCAAGUGUAUCCAUAAGCUAUAAUCACAAUCAUGCUGCAUAACAAAACCAAAAACUCAAUGGCCAAUAACAAUGAACAUUUAUUUUUUGUUUUCAUGUCUAGAGGCCAGGUGGGGGGUGGCUGAUCUAAGCUGGGUUUUGCUCUAGGUUAGAUUUAGUCUAGGUUGGCCUCACAUGUCUCUCAUUCUUCAGGUGUCAGGAGGCCACCAUGGGCCUGAUCUUCAGGACAGAUGCCUCUUAAGACUUGGGCUUUGACUCAUACACUGUUACUGCCACCCAUGUCCUGUUGGCCAAAGUCAAUUUCAUUACCAAGCCCAAGAUCUGUGGAGUGGAGAAAUGCAUUUUGAAGGGGAGGGAGUCAAUCUGUAAUGAGCACCAUGAUGUACCAUAGAGCAUUUGUAGUCAUGAGCCUGAUUUAGACACUUGGUGGGGUAUCUCUGUGCUCUUAGGAAUUGUGUCUCUGUGUCUGUCAGAGGUGAUAACAUUGGAGCUGAGCCUUAAAAAAUAAAAGUUUCCUCAAACACCUCUGUGACUUCUGUGAUGCCUUCUGUUCACCACCCACAGUAGCACUGAAGGAAGAAAAGUAGUAACAUGUGAAGUGCAUAGGCAGCCCAGGGAGUCAUGCAUCCUAGUUCUGCAAGGAGGGUGCCCCUAGCCAGCCCUUGAUUGCCUCCCAGUUUUGGAGUUUGUAAGAGUCACAAAUAAUCACACUUCCCUCUCCUCAAAGUUCUGAACCAACUAAAAAUUAUACAUGGGAAUUUGAUGGGGAUGAAAAUAUGGACUUUAUAAGUAAAAAUGAAUUUGAGAACAGCUUGGACCUGAAGCUGAAGGGGUUUCCUUGAUACUUUUCAUCUGGAUCCUGUAGUCCACCUGAGGGUAGUUGUGGGUCUUCAUGGUGGACUUUUAACCAGAUGCAUGAAAAAUUGUGGCCAGGAGAGAGGCCACACCUGAGAGGGAUGUUUACACAUGAGAAACAUAGACCAGUGGGUGUCAGCCUCUUGCCACCUCAACAAUUAUGCCAAUUUCUCCUACACACAAAUGAAGGAGAGAAGAGCUAAGUGUGAAAGGAAAGAUGGAACUCUGUCCUCCCCAUCUAAUCCGGGAUGGAAGCUGUCUGUUGCAGGGACCAGCAUGAGGUGGGGAGGAAGGAUGACCCCGGUGAUCUAGAAAAUGGGACUGAUGCUAUUUAGACGGCUGCCAUCACUGAGUCAGCGGGUGUGGGCUUCUUUAUGCACUUGCUAGAAAUGGGCCAUCAGGCCACUCCUAGUGUGCCCUGGAGCAACUUGUUCUUGUCUGCAAGUCCAGAUGCAGAACACCUAACUCCACUCCACUUCAUCCCCAAAUCCCAACCCGUCUUCACUCAUUUCCGACUGAACCAAGCCACCUGAGUGUCGUGAGUUCACCUGUGUGUUCUUGCCAUCUCCUGGGAUGGAGUCCCCACAGGUCAGAACACUUGAACUCAUUGUGUAGAACCAGAUUCUCUCCCACACUUUUCUCUCUCCUCUCAGAGGCCAAUUUGUUCUGCAGUCAAUUCUGCAGAAGUUAGAAAUAAAGCAUGGUGACCAAUCAGAGAUGAGAGAGGGUGUGGUUGGGCUGAGAGUCACUUUUCAGAGCUUAUGAAAAGCUGCAAACCCGGUGGAUGGCUUACACUCUUUCCUCAAGGGCAACACACUGAGUGAGAGGGUGCUGGAGGGGGAUGCUGGGGAAAGCGAGCUUGUAUUCAAGGAGGCCUGUGGUGUCAUUAUUUACAGUGUCACACCUGAUCCUCCCAACGACCCCAUCUCUAGGCUCUGGAAGUUAGUGGUUAAGAGCACAUCUCUCAGGCUUGUUCACAUACAGUUGUGUGACCUUGGGCAAGUCUCUGUGCCUCAGUUUACUCAUCUGUAGAAUGUUGGUAGAGGAGGAUAUUAAGAGUAACUACCACAUAGUGGUGCUGGGAGGAUAAAAUGAUUUAAUAGAUGUGAUGGGCAGCUGUGGGGAUGGCUCCCAGUGAUCCCUGUCUCCAGGUAUCCAUGCCCUUGCUUGUAAGGAAGAGAAUAUGGCAAAGUUGAUAGGCUGUCUCUUCCAAGAUCAGGUUACAAGAGACUGUGAACUCCCUCUUGCUUACUUUCUCUUACUCUCUUUCUUACUCCAGUGGAAACCAACAGCGUGUUACGAGCUGCCCAGUGGAGAAACCCACACUACAAGAAACUGUGGAUGGCCUCCUCUGGUCAAUAGCCAGCUAGGAAUAAGGCCUUCAUCCAAUAGCCCAUGAGGAACUGAAUCCUGCCAAAAACCACACACGUGAGCUUAGAAGCAGAUCUUUCCCCAGUAGAGCCUUGAAAUGACUGCUGCCCCCACCUGACACCUUAACUGUGGUCUGUGUGAGACUCUGAAACAGGGGGCCCAGCUAAGCCAAGCCCAUAUUCCUGACCCACAGACGCUUUGAGAUAAUAUUGAAUAAAUUCUUGUGGUGUUAAGCCACUGAGUUUUAGGGUAAUUUGUUAGACAGCGAUAGAUAACGAAGACAAUACAUUAACAAUUCUUAAGAUACCCAGUGGAUAGUAAACCUUCAAUAGAUAUUGACUGUCUUUAUUAUUAAUAUCUCAGUUUCACAGAUGAGACAAAUGAGGCUCAGAGUGACUUCCCAGAGUUCGACAGUUAAUAUGCAGUAGAGUAGGGGCUCUGCCUUUGUUCUAUCUGACUUCAAAGUCAGUGCUCUCAAAGCAUCACUAUUUGGAAGACUCAGCUCCUUGAGGUGCCUAAGCAGGAUUUGUAGAAAAACAGAGGGCAGAUUUCCAUGGGCUGCCUUAGAUAGGUGAAUGACCCCUUAAGGCUGUAGAGGGCCAGGCCUAGGGCUGGGGAGAGCCAUGGCCAGCUCUUCAGGGAGUCUACAUGGGUAGGAGGACUAGCUCCUGCACCCAAACUUCACUAGGGGCUAGGUCUUCCAGCACAUGGGAGAACCAACGCAUGGCUGAGUCUGCUCCUAGAGUUUGUAAGAUGCUGUGUACUGAGAAAUGGAGCUCUGGUCUCUCCUCGCCCUCUGCUAUAGUUUCAAUGUGUUCCCCAAAAAGCAUGUGUUGGAAACUUAAUCCCCAAUGCAACAGUGUUGGGAAGUAGGGCCUAAUGGGAGGUGUUUAGGGCAUGAGGUCUCUGUCCUCAUGAAUGGAUUAAUGCCGAUUAUAAAAGGUCUUGAGCAUGUGAGUUCAUUCUCUUGCUCUCUCACAAUGCUGUCUUGCCCUUCCACCGUGAGCCAUGGGAUGAUGUAGGAAUCAUCCCAUGAUUGGUGGCACCUUCAUAUUAGACUAUGUUGGACUUCGCAGCCUCCAGAACUGUGAUAAACAAAUACCUUAUAAGUUACGACACCUCUGAUAUUGUGUUAUAGCAACACAAAACAGACUGAGACUCUUUCUCUCAUUCCCUCUGGGAGCUCAUGAACUAGGAGCCUGAGAUAAGCCCCAUUCAGAGGAGUCUCAUCUGAGCAAAGGCCGUUUUCGUUGCUAUCCUAUCAUGCUAUAGACAGCAAUGAUGAAUCAACUUAGCUGAUCGGAGGGCAGUCAGCACCAUCAGAAACAACAUGUCCUCUUAGCACAGUAACUGCUGGGAACAUCUACAAGAUUCCUCAGGGUGUAUGGGCAACAGACACAGGGAGCGUGCAGAGAGGCAGGUGGCACAGCCCCUGAUAUCUGCGGUGGUGAGACGCACAAUGGGAGCAGAUUCAAGCUUCACCACACAGACACUCAAAGAAUCAACGGAUACACGGAGACACCCAGGCACCUGCAUUAAUACCCAUAUACUCCCAGACACAUGGCCACACUCAUAGACACACCUACAGAAUGACACACUCAGACAUUCAGUGUGAAAGACACAAAUGCUCAGAUAAAUGCCCAGGUGGUAGGGAGGAACAUUAAAAUCCCACAACUCAUGUUUCCAGGGAGGGGAAGUCUUUUCCAUUGCACCAUGCAGGAGGGAAAAGUAUUGAAGGAACACUUCUUGCCCUUGUCCAUCCCCUCACCCAUUUCUCCCCAGAGGAGAGUUGGUGAGUUUGGGGGAGGAACAGAGCAUGCUCAGUCUAGUCUCCCCUAGGGCUUCUCUGUCUUUUACCCUGCCUGCCUGCAGAGGGGAAACAACAUUCUCAUCAGUCCUCUGGUACUGGGUGGCCUCUCAGGGUCGGCUUGGCCCCUCUGGGGAGUUGCCUGGUGUGACCAGUGCCGAUGGACACGUCUAUCUAAUUCAUUGGGGAAGAAUUUGCAGACCCUUUGGCUACAUAUCCAAAGCCACAUUCUUUACUUGACUGUACCCAGUAAUAGAGCUGACAUUCUGAUCUUCACCUCUAUCUCUGAGGCCUUAUUUCUCAGUUGGUGUCAAACUUGCGAUUCCCCGGUUCCAACACCAAAUAUUCCCACUUAGAGGAAAAACAGAAACAUGGACAAAUGUUCAAAGACACAGCAGAGAAACAUAGAUGAGAUGGUACAUUUGCUCUCCUGAGUGGAGGGAGGAUGGUUAGAAGAGCAGUUCAUGAGUCUGGCUGGGUGUUAGAAUCACCUGGGAAGAAUUACAAAUAGGUACUCAUGUCUGGGUCCUACUCCAGACAAACUGAUUCAGAAUCUACUGGGUCAGGGCCUGGGCAGUGGUCAAUUUUAAAGCUCCCCAGGUGAUUCUAACAGGCAGCUUCCCCACUCCCCAGCACUCCAUGAGGAGCAAAAGAGUGUUGGUGACUGGGGGCCUAACCCAUCGGUCACAGACCUCCCUCAGACGUCACUUGCUUCCAGCUAUAGCUCCAAAUUUCUCUCCUAUGGACAUUCUGGGGAUUCUGGUAGCAGCUGAGGGCUGUGCACUAAGCAGGCAAUUGCCUUUGGCUGCUGCUCUUCUGACUCUUCUAACUCUUCUGGUGGACCAUGGGGGCUGUCUCACCACUCUUCAAGCAGAAGUCCCUCACUCCUGCCUUGGAUCCCCAACACGUACGGAUGCUUAGGUCGACAUGGUAUUUUUCCUCUUGCUUUCAGUCUAGCUUCCUGUUGCAUCUCUGCUUGGUUGGCCCCUGGCAGAGCAGGUGCACAGGACACCGAGUGGAGAACUGGCCCCAGUGACAGUGGCUCGGCACAUGCUCUUCAUCCCAUAGCCAAAGGCACUUUCUUUGUGAUGCAUGGAGGCCAAACUCUUCUGCCAGCAACAGAGAAGCAAGGCCAGGCUGAUGGCUGCAAAAUGAGAGCGUGGUGUAAAGAUGGGAGCAGAGGUGGCGUGUACCCAUCCAGUGGCCUUGAUGCUUCUGUGAAUAUGGAGGGGCAGAUUCCUGGCUCUUGGACUUGACUGGUGCACCCUUUGGUCUCUAUCUCUGGUGGCUCAUCUCCUUGGCCUUGGUAGCUCCAUGACUUUCUGGAAUCAUAAACUCAACCUGGUUCAGAAUUGGCCACUUCUGGGCCAGUGCCUGACCCACCUAUGCUGCGACUUAGCACAGUCAUUGCCACUGGAACUUCCUCCCAUCAGUGUUCAGUGCUCAGAGGAGACAACCAGCUGUGGGAGCUCUAAGAGGGGCUGGGGCAAAGUUCCAUCCAAUAAUCCUGUGGAAUUUCUCUCUGGACAGCUGUGGACAGAUGUGAGGGUAGUGACUGUUGAUGCAUAUCUGUCCCCUGGAGUAAGAGCCUCAGGGGCUUUGCUCAGCUCUUGCCAGCUGGGAAGAGAGCAGAGCCCAGCCACAUCCUUGAAAGGAAUAGCAGAUGUAAUGGCCAGAGGAAGCCGUGUGCAGGGACGCAUCUGGAGAGUUCAGAGGACUCAUUAGAGCAUCAUCUUGCUCUGAUAAGCUGUUAGUUAAAAGUUCACCUGGAGGGGCUUUUAUUGCACCCCACUGAGAAUUCCUACCUCCUGCUAGGAGUGCAUAUUGGGAAGGAAGAAUUUUAUAGAUGGUAUAAAUGGCUAAAUGUCUGAGUGUUAGUUAUUCGAGCCUCACGUAAUUGUGCUCUUUGGACCUAUAGAAACCCAACCCUUUGUUGACUGUGUGGCAAUCAAAGGAAUAAUGUUAGUGCAGAAUUAGGGGCUAACCAUUGUAAUCAUAAUAACUGUAAUAAGAAUAGUAGCAGUAAUUUAUGGAGCUUCUAUAUGGUAGGCACUCUGCUUAGCACCUGCAGUGGGCUGAAUAAUACUCCCCCUAAAAUAUGAACCUGUGAAUGUUACCCUAUGUGGCAAAAGGGACUUUGCAGAUGCAAUUAGGUUAAGGAUUUUGAAAUGAGGAGAUUAUCCUAGAUUAUCUGGGUGGGCCCUAAAAGAAAUCACAAGUGUCCAUAUUAGAGGAAGGCAGAGGGAGAUUUAGCAUAGAGGGGAAAAGGAAAUAUGACAAUGGAAGCAGAGAGUGGAGGGAUGUAGCUAACUGCCAAGGAAUGCCACAGCCACCAGUAACUGGAAGAGGAAAGGAGUGGAUUCUUCCCUGAAGCUUCCAGAAGGAACCAGCCUGCUGACACCUUGAUCUUAGCCCUGCAAGACUCAUUUCAGACUUCUGGCCUCCAAGACUGCAAGGGAAUAAAUUUCUGUUGCUUUAAGCUACUAAGUUUGGGGCAAUUAGCAACAGCAGCAAUAGGAAACCAAACACAUACAUACCUUGGCUCAUUGACUCCUCAUCCAUCCUGUGAAUUAGGCACUAUUAUGAUUUCCAUGUACACAUGAAGAAACUGUGGUUCAGAGGGGCCAAGUGGCUGCUUCAGGUCAACAGUGCUAGCUAGUGGAAGAGCAGAAAAUCAAACUCGGGUCUGUCUGUCUCUGGAUCUCAUGUCCUUCACCAUAAGGCUAUACGCCUUGCAACCACAACUCAGUAUUGGCCAUGAUGAAGAUGGCAAAGAAAUUGGGCAGCCUCUGCAAGAUUGGGCUAAGAAAUCAUGGAGUCAAAAUUGAGACUACUUCAUGGAGUGUCCUUGGGUACAGACACUGUCAUGAGAAAAGCCCCCUGAAGAGAAGGAGGAGACACAGCUACAGGUGUCACAAUCAAGAUGUUGCAGGGAGGGGAAGUGCAUGGAAGUUAGGUUCUGGGAUAGACAUGGUGGGAGCUCAACCAUGGGGAAAUAGAAGUAAUUGAGGUACCAAGAAGGAUGAGAACAAGGGUGGAGGUGCCGAUCCAGAAAUUGGUGGUGAACAUCAGAAUCUCUGUGGGCACCUCUGUAUGACUGAGCCAGUGUUAAAGGUGUUAUUUCCCAGAGAACCCAUGCUAGGAGGGGCUGGGGGUUGUGUGUGACUGCAGCCCCUCAAGUCAGAUGGGCACAGUGCUUCCCAUCCAGAGAGGGUAUUGCCCAGGUGCUGCCUGAGGGGUGAAUGAGGCAGAACACCAGGUCUAAGACCUUGGUAUGGGGUAGAGCUGACAAGGGCCAGUGGGGUGUUAGGGCCUCCUUUAAGUGUCAUGGGUUUGGGGACAGGGCUCUGGUCCCAAGAAGACAGGUGCUGGUUCAGGAAACCAAAGCAGAACUCAGUUACUUGGGUUGAACCCACUCUACAGAGGCUGGGAAAAUGUGUGCUUCACUGGGCAUGCAGAUGGCUAGGCCUGUCCCAGGCCUCCAGACUCCUCCUGUGCUGGGCUAAACUCAGCAGCAAGCUUGGCCUGCAAGUGAGGGGCUGGGGCUGGGCUUCCUCGUGGGUUCCCAGCUGUGCUCAGCACCAACUCAGAGGAGGAUGCUGCAAUUGAGUGGUGCAGGAGGGUGGGGAGGAGAAGGCAGGCUGGCAGCAGAGUCCCCUCAGAUGGAACUCCCCCAGGCAUGACCAUUCAGGAAGAUCUGGGGCACUGGUUCUCAAAGUAUGGUCCCAGACCAGCAGCAUCAGCAUCACUUGGGAAUUCGUCACAAAUGCAAAUUCCUGGGCCCCACUCCACACGCACUGAAUCAGAAACUCAGACGGAGGUCCAUCCAUUUGUGUUCUAAUAAACCCUCUAGGUGAUUCUGCUACCUGAUGAAGUUUAAGAACCUAGACCCUCACCUAGGAGAUCAUGGGGUUGCCUGGGAAGAUUGGGGUCAUGGACUAAUCCUUUGUAUUUUCUUCCUCCCCACCCAUGCCACGCCAGUGGCAGAUUUUCCAAAGAUGUUCACAGCUGUAUCCAAUGCAAUCUUGUGCACAAAAGGAGGCUUUUUAUUUUUCUGCUUUCAGGGAUGUGAAUUUCUAUCAGCAGAUGAGUAUCUCCUUUCACUGGGGCUUCUGAAUUAUACAGGACCGUGGGAGGAGUUCAGGGAAUCAGAUAUAUUAACUAGACCUUGAAAUAUUUUUUUUCCAAAUGGAUGCAUAGUCUUUAUUUAAGUAGAAAGCAUUUCUGGCUAAAUUUGGUGGCUCAUUUGUAGGAAAACCAGCAAAAACCUGACUUCUGGGAGUCUCUAUGAUUUAAGCCAUGUUAAUAUUAGCUGCUGGUUGAAUCACAGGGAGAAAAUCGACAGAUUCAUUCUCUUGGGGGCAGGGAGGAGAGGGAGCUCCCAGCUGAGCCAAGAAUCUGCCAGUGCUGCGUCUGGCUGAUUAAUGGCAUUAGACUUCGGUGCCCUCUUUAGCGGUCCAGCCAGUGACCUUAGGGAACCCCCGCAGCAUUGGGCUUGUUUACGUGAAGCAGCUCUGCGGGUUGGGGACAGGAUGUAGGGGCAUCAGGGAGGAGACCGAGGCAAAAGAAACCACCUCCAUCUUCCCUCCCCUGCGGAGCCGCCGGCCUGCAGUCUUGUGCGCCAUGAAAAAAUGAUGACUUGACUUCAUUAAAGCCUUGUCAUCUUUCCCCUACUGACAGCUUGAAAAGAGCACUCUCGCCUGAGCAGAACGGGAUUCCAGAGGCCCAGGGGGCACAGAAAUCACAGACUGAACUUUCGGGAAGAAAAAUCCUUCUCUUCUUGUUAAGCAAAUAACUGAAUAUGAAAAUGAAGGAGGGUGGGGAGGAAAUUUCAUUUCAGUUUCAGUGGUGCGGGGGCCUGUACAGCAGAGGAGAAGGACUUAGGUAUGUCCCGCCUAAGGGGAUGCGGUGCCGUCAGGCCCCUCCCCUGCCAUCCUGGCUUCCUGAAGCUUGACCCAGUCUUGCUGUUUUGAUCUGAUUUCCCUCCAGCCCUUGUGGUUCAAGUUAUUGAUAUCCACUGAGCAUCUAAAAGGCCCCAUGGUGGGCACAGCCUCAUGUCAUCCCCCUAAUGCCCUCUUUGAAGGUGGUAUCAUUACCCUCAUUUUACAGAAACAGAGGCUGAGAGAAGGGAAAGGGGUAAUUUGUUCAAGGUGACACAGUAAUGGGACCAUAUCUGGAGUUCAGGCUUGUCUGACUACUGUGGGUCUUCAGGUGAUUGAGAAACAAGGAAAGUCAGGGAGGACGGAGAGCUUCGGUCUUGGACAGAAACCUAGAGAGAUUCAAUGCCCUGUUGACAGCCACUCAGCUCAUGAGUGGGGAGACCAGAAGAGACCCCAGAUCUUCGGCUCAUGGCCUGAUGAUAUUCUCAUGUAUUUAUUUAUUCAGCAACUUUAAAAAAUAUUUUAGAAAUCUUGACUUUUAUAAGUGUUUUAAAACAAUGUACAUGGUUAAAAACAAGUCAGAUAAUAUAAAAAAGUUUGUAAUGAAAAAGAGCAGUCCCUGGCCUAAUCAUUUUAAACUCUUUUAGGGUGUUUUUCCUGGCAUUAACUUUAAUUCUGUAUCUCUAGGUUUAUGCCUAUACAGGACUUCUAUUUCUUGAUUUAUGGGAGGGAGAAUUUCACUGUCCCCCCACACCCUACUUCACCCCAACCCCAGCAUCCUAAUAUAGUCCUAUUAUUGUUUUUACUAAAAUAAGUGAUUAGUGUUUACUCUAUUUCCUUUCUUGAACAGAUUUUGAUUUUCUUUAGAGUUAAUGGUUGCCUAUUUCACUUGCUUAUUUUUUUUCCACAUAUAUGUCUUUAAAGUUUUCAAAAUUAAUCAGGUUAUAAUCUACCUAUUAUUAUUUUUUACAAAAAUUCCAUCAUAUCACAUAUUUUAUCAUUCCCCCAUGUAAAAAAUUGCUGGAGCUCUUCAUUGUAAAGAAUUUCUUCCUCUUAUUUUCGGUUGAACCAGUUAAUCUAUAGGCCUUCUGCACAGUUAUCCUCCAUGGACUUCCUUUGCCCUUAUCCUGGAUUGGAUCCACCAUUUCUUGAUCCUUUGUCUUCCUCCUUCUUAGAUUCCUCCCUAACUUUGCUGGAGCACAUCCUUCAGCAGUUUAUAAAGAAAGCGUGCAUAAAAGUUAUUUUUUUUCUGAGUCUUUUAUGUCUUCAAAUAUUAUCCUCACACAAUUUCUAAUGUGGCUGAAUGUAAAAUUUAAGGCUGAAAAUAAUAUUUUAUUUAAAAAUGUGAUGGCAUCUAGCGUCCAGUUUUUUUCUUGGGAAGUUAAAUGCUAUUCUGAUUAUUAUUUUGCAUAUAGUUUUUUUCUCUUUGGAAUCUUUUGGGAUCUAUUCUUUCUUCCUGGUGUUCUGAAAUUUUAUAUAAGCCCUAAAGUAGAAGAUGCAGCCUAGUUCCAGGAAAUAUUAUUCAUAUCAAAUCAGAUUUUUGGCAAUUUCUUCCUCUCCCUUUUUCUCUGUUCUCAUUUUAUAUUUCUCCCAUUAGUCAGAUAUUGAAUUGCUGGAUUGGUUAUCUAAAAGGUCUUAUGUAUUCUUUAAUAUUUUCCAUCACUAUCUUUUUCUUCUGCUUUCUAAUAGAUUUUAUUAUCUUUACUAUCUAUAUCUUUUAUUGAAGUGUUUUGUUUUUUCUCCUGUUCUUAAUUUCUAAUAGUACUUUCCUGUCUCCUUACUGUUGCUUCUUUUAUAAACCCUAUUCUUUAAUGCAUCAAUAUCUUCUCC
rnacentral:lncRNA from 1 species